AUAAUCUACCUGCCUAGACUGGAUUGUAUAACUCAAUACUUUGAUAAAAAACGUCCCUUUGUGACAGUGGGGAUUGACAUUGGCUGGUUAGAAAAUAACAAAGGAACUAUUGACGAAUAUAUGUGGUCACAUCAUGGGAGUGUUGUAGAGGUUCAUGUUGGUGGUGCAGAUCAACAGUAACUUGAACAACAGGGCUCACUCCAAUCCAAAUCAGAACUGUAGGAGCUAAUUGAGGUCACAAAGUUGUACCAGGAAUGACGAACAAAUUUGACCUUCUCUUUUUGUACAGUUUUCAGUGUAACCAUCAUGCACAUUGAACAUGAGAAAAUUAAGUAUUUGAAACCAUUUAAAAAUAC